AUUGAACGCUGGCGGCAGGCUUAACACAUGCAAGUCGAGCGAGCGGCGGACGGGUGAGUAAUGUCUGGGAAACUGCCUGAUGGAGGGGGAUAACUACUGGAAACGGUAGCUAAUACCGCAUACCAUCAGAUUUGCCCAGAUGGGAUUGGCUAGUAGGUGGGGUAAUGGCUCACCUAGGUGACGAUCCAUAGCUGGUCUGAGAGGAUGACCAGCCACACUGGAACUGAGACACGGGCCAGACACCGACGGGAGGAAGCAGUGGGGAAUGUUGAACCAGGGGCGCAAGAGUGAUGCAACGAUCCCGCGUGUGUGAAGAAGGCCUUCAGGUUGUAAAGAACUUAAAGUGAGGAGGCGUUAAUCGCAGAAGAAGCACCGGCAAACUCCGUGCCAGCAGCAGCGGUAAUAC
rnacentral:rRNA from 1 species